ACAGACUUAAAUUACUGUAAACUCCUGAACUGCAUGUGUUUACAUUUAUUUUUAUAGAAAUCUCGUUUAAUCAAACCACACACGGUUACGCAGUGUGGAGACAGCAGCAGAACUGUAUUAAUAAAUAAAAAUGAAAGUGUUCAGAAAACAAUGAGUCAAAGAAAUGCUUUCCAUAGAGAACCAGCUCCCUCAUCUUCAUGUUUGGAUAACUGUAGCAGAAAACAACAUGUGAAAAAAAGAGGCCCGAAAAGAUGGAAUAUUUCAGAGCACAGGGCUAUUUCCCAGAAGAAAGCAAGACCUCAUGAACGACAGAUACCUCCUGUUUCCCUAUUGGAGAAGGAUCACCGAGUUUCACUGGUACCUCUUCCUAAGAGCCAACACAUGCUUCUGGAGAAAUCUGAAGUUGCCAACAUUAAAAAAGAAGACAGUGACCCAGAAAUCAUCUGUGUAAUGGCGUCUGAGGAUGAGACUGAAGAUUUGUUUAAGUGUGGGGAAAGUAGAGAAUUUCUUUGGUUGAACAAAGGUUCAUUUGGAGGAAAACAGAAACGGCGUGACUUACAAAGGUAUAUUUGUUUUGAUCAGAAGGAUGCUACAAAAAUAAAGGGAAAUAAUUUGCCGCCUUCAAAAUUGGAAAGUGCAUUGGCUGAAGAUCAAAAAGGAUGUGCUGAAGGAAAAGCCCAAGUUGCAAUGCAGGAGACAGGUGCUGUGGCACACAUAGAAGAGUCUUCCCAGUGUAUGUCUGGAAAGAAAACGGUAGAAACUUUAACCUCUCUUUUAAGAGUCCAAUCCAUGAUACCAGAGUAA
rnacentral:lncRNA from 1 species